UAGAACUGCCCCGCCACGGUUCCCGGGAACCGCCAGAACCGGAACCGCCGGAACCGGGCCGCGGGAACCGGUAGAACCGCCAGGGCUGCGGUUGCGGUCCGGUUCCGGUUCGGAACCGCCAGUUUUACAGCCUUAGCACGGUGCAAGGCAGCAUGCAUGUGAGAUGAAGAAGGCUUCUGAAGGAACUGGCUGAGAUGUUGCACAGCAAAGGCCAAAUCAGGUCUAGUGUGAGUGAGGAAAUUGAGUUUCCCCACCAGGCUCCUAUAAGAUUCAGGAGAAGGAAGAGGAUCACCUGCAUCCUGUUUGAGCUUGACAGAAAGGUCAAGAGGGCAGGCAACAGGGGUAACCUCCUCACAGUGAUAGGCAUGGAGAAGAUCAGUAAUAAACUUCUUUUGAUGAAUUUGAGCUUGACAGAAAGGUCUAGAGGGCAGGUAACAGCGGUAACCUCCUCACAGUGAUAUGCGUGGAGAAGAUCAGUAAUAAACUUCUUUUGAUGAAGAAGCAGACCAUCAGAAUGAUAAGUGACUUCUAUUCCAAUGAAAUAAUUGAGGACACCCAAGUCCUUGAUCUUAAACUCAAGUUCCAGAAACCUUUUUAAAGCAGUGAUCUCCUCAAAAUCAUUGCCAGUCAGUACAAUAUCAUCAACAUACACAGCCAACAAAACAAUAUAAGAAGCAGAUUUCUUAAAGAAGAGGGAAAUCAUUACCAGUCAGUAUAAUAUCAUCAACAUACACAGCCAACAAAACAAUAGAAGAAGCUGAUUUCUUAAAGAAGAUGGAAUAAUCAUUGAAGGAAGAAGAAUAGCCCCUAGAAUAGAGGGCUUGAGAUAGCUUGGCAUACCACUACCUAGAAGCUUGUCUCAAUCCAUAUAAGGAUUUCUGAAGAAGACAGACCAAAGGAGAAGAAGAAGAGGAACAGGAAACAGAUAGUCCAGGAGGUAGUUUCAUAUAAACCUCUUCAUCCAAAUCACCAUGCAAGAAAACAUUAUUGACAUCAAGCUGAAAGUGGGACCAGUUCUGCUUAACAGCUACAACAAUGAGGGACUUAAUAGUGGAAAACUUGACAACAGGAGCAAAAGUUUCAUUGAAAUCUACUCCCUCAACUUGUGUGUCACCCCUAACAACCAAUCUAGCUUUAU
rnacentral:lncRNA from 1 species